GACGUAGGGCGCGAGCGUUGUCCGGAUUUAUUGGGCGUAAAGAGCUCGUAGGCGGCUCAGUAAGUCGGGUGUGAAAACUCCAGGCUCAACCUGGAGACGCCACCUGAUACUGCUGUGGCUAGAGUCCGGUAGGGGAGCAUGGAAUUCCUGGUGUAGCGGUGAAAUGCGCAGAUAUCAGGAGGAACACCAGUGGCGAAGGCGGUGCUCUGGGCCGGAACUGACGCUGAGGCACGAAAGCGUGGGGAGCAAACAGG
rnacentral:rRNA from 1 species